GGCCGCGUCGACGCGGGGCUCAACUCCGUAUUGCGUUGGAAACUGCCAGACUAGAGUACUGGAGAGGUGGGCGGAACUACAAGUGUAGAGGUGAAAUUCGUAGAUAUUUGUAGGAAUGCCGAUAGAGAAGUCAGCUCACUGGACAGAUACUGACGCUGAAGCGCGAAAGCAUGGGGAGCAAACAGGAUUAGAUACCCUGGUAGUCCAUGCCGUAUACGAUGAUUACUAAGCGUC
rnacentral:rRNA from 1 species